rnacentral:rRNA from 1 species
UACGGGGGGGGCAAGCGUUGUUCGGAAUUACUGGGCGUAAAGGGCUCGUAGGUGGCCAACUAAGUCAGACGUGAAAUCCCUCAGCUCAACUGGGGAACUGCGUCUGAGACUGGUCGGCUUGAGUGCAGGAGAGGAACGCGGAAUUCCAGGUGUAGCGGUGAAAUGCGUAGAUAUCUGGAGGAACACCGGUGGCGAAGGCGGCGUUCUGGACUGUUACUGACACUGAGGAACGAAAGCCAGGGGAGCAAACGGG